GUGCGGUAAGAGCGCACCGCGCGACUGGUAACAGCUCGUGGCGAUGGAAAACCCCACCUGGAGCAAGACCAAAUAGGGAUCCAUUGGCGUGACCCGCGCUGGAUCCGGGUAGGUUGCUAGAGGCGUGUGGUGACAUGCGCCCCAGAGGAAUGACUGUCCACGACAGAACCCGGCUUAUCGGCUGACUUUACAU
rnacentral:RNase_P_RNA from 1 species